GAUGAACGCUGGCGGCGUGCUUAAUACAUGCAAGUCGAACGAGGUGCUUUUGUAGCAAUACAGAGUGGCAGACGGGUGAGUAACGCGUGGGAACCUACCCUUUGGUUCGGAAUAGCUCAGGGAAACUUGAGGUAAUACCGGAUACGCCCUUCGGGGGAAAGAUUUAUCGCCAAAGGAUGGGCCCGCGUCGGAUUAGCUAGUUGGUGGGGUAACGGCCUACCAAGGCGACGAUCCGUAGCUGGUCUGAGAGGAUGAUCAGCCACACUGGGACUGAGACACGGCCCAGACUCCUACGGGAGGCAG
rnacentral:rRNA from 1 species